AACCUUUUGAUUACCAUAUCAGAUUGGCCCUGCCCUAUGGUAAAUUACUAAAUGGCUGCAGUAUUUCGACUGUACAAAGGUAGCAUAAUCAUUUGUCCUUUAAUUGAGGACUGGGAUGAAAGGUCUGAUGAAAAAUACACUUUCUUUAUUUUAUAGAUAAAAAUUGACUUUUAAGUUAAAAGGCUUAAAUACCAUUAAGGGACGAGAAGACCCUGUAGAACUUUAUACUAUAAUUAUGCUUUGAAAUUUGUUGAUGGGUUUAAUACAUAAUUGUUCAGUAUUUUGUUGGGGUGAUAAAAAAAACAAAAUAACUUUUUUUGUGGAUAACAUAUAUAUAUGUUUAGCUGAUCCAGAAUUUUCUGAAUAAAAGACUAAGUUACCUCAGGGAUAACAGCGGGAUUACUUUGGAGAGUUCAAAUCGAUAGAGUAGUUUGCGACCUCGAGGGGGGAUUAAAAUAAAUAUGGGAUGUAGCAGUUUUAGUAUUAAGUCUGUUCCACUUUUAAAUUUUU
rnacentral:rRNA from 1 species